rnacentral:rRNA from 1 species
GACGAACGCUGGCGACGUGCUUAACAUAUGCAAGUCGAACGGUAAGGCCCUUCGGGGUACACGAGUGGCGAACGGGUGAGUAACACGUGGGUGAUCUGCCCUGCACUUCGGGAUAAGCCUGGGAAACUGGGUCUAAUACCGGAUAGGACUCCGGACUGCAUGGUCUGGGGUGGAAAGCUUUUGCGGUGUGGGAUGGGCCCGCGGCCUAUCAGCUUGUUGGUGGGGUGAUGGCCUACCAAGGCGACGACGGGUAGCCGGCCUGAGAGGGUGACCGGCCACACUGGGACUGAGAUACGGCCCAGACUCCUACGGGAGGCAGCAGUGGGGAAUAUUGCACAAUGGGCGCAAGCCUGAUGCAGCGACGCCGCGUGAGGGAUGACGGCCUUCGGGUUGUAAACCUCUUUCAGCACAGACGAAGCGCAAGUGACGGUAUGUGCAGAAGAAGGACCGGCCAACUACGUGCCAGCAGCUGCGGUAA